AGGAUCAAUUGGAUGGAUACCUUUUUAUAAAAAGAGGAAAGUCCGAACUCCGCAGGAUAGAGUGCCUCAUAAUUAGAGGACCUCAUUUAAAUGAGGAUGGCAAGUGCAACAGAAAAUAAACAUCCCAAAAGGAUAAAGGUGAAAUGGUAGUGUAAGAGACUACCAGUCUUAUUAGCAAUAAUAAGAGCUAGGUAAACCCCACUCGGAGCAAAACCAAGUAGUCUAGUGUGAUCCGCAUUAAUAGACGGGUAGGUUGCUUGAUCUUAAUUGUGAAAUUAAGACUAGAUAAAUAUUCAUCAUCUUAUUGAUACAGAAUUCGGCUUAUAGAUUGGUCCUGAAA
rnacentral:RNase_P_RNA from 1 species